rnacentral:rRNA from 1 species
UGAAUACGAGAUGCUACGGCAUUGAAGCAGUGUAUGUCAGACUUCCAAGAAAAGCUCGCAAUGUCAUAAACAAUAAAUGCCUGUACCAUAACCGACACAGGUGGGUAGGUAGAGUAUACUAAGGGGCGCGAGAUAACUCUCUCUAAGGAACUCGGCAAAAUGACUCCGUAACUUCGGGAGAAGGAGUGCCUUAUUUUAUAAGGUUGCAAUAACAAGAUCCAAGCAACUGUUUACCAAAAACACAGGUCUCCGCUAAGUCGAAAGACGAUGUAUGGGGGCUGACGCCUGCCCAGUGCCAGAAGGUUAAAGAAGUUGGUUAGCUUCUGCGAAGCUGAUGACUGAAGCCCUGGUGAACGGCGGCCGUAACUAUAACGGUCCUAAGGUAGCGAAAUUCCUUGUCGGGUAAGUUCCGACCCGCACGAAAGGCGUAAUGAUUUGGAUACUGUCUCGGAGAGGGGCUCGGUGAAAUAGACUUGUCUGUGAAGAUGCGGACUACCUGCACCUGGACAGAAAGACCCUAUGAAGCUUUACUGUAACUUGAGAUUGAAAUUGGACUUUAUUUGCGCAGUAUAGGUGGGAGACGUUGAGAAUAUUCUUGCGGGAAUAUUGGAGUCAUCAGUGAGAUACCACUCUUGUAAUGUUAGAUUUCUAACUUUGUAUCAUUAUCUGGUCAAAGGACAGUUUCAGGCGGGCAGUUUGACUGGGGCGGUCGCCUCCUAAACGGUAACGGAGGCGCACAAAGGCUUCCUCUGAACGUGUAGAAAUCGUAUCUAGAGUGUAAAGGCAUAAGGAAGCUUGACUGUGAGACCUACAAGUCGAGCAGGGACGAAAGUCGGUCUUAGUGAUCUGACGGUGCUGAGUGGAAAGGCCGUCACUCAACGGAUAAAAGUUACUCUAGGAUAACAGGCUGAUCUCCCCCAAGAGUUCACAUCGACGGGGAGGUUUGGCACCUCGAUGUCGGCUCAUCGCAUCCUGGGGCGGUAGUACGUCCCAAGGGUUGGGCUGUUCGCCCAUGAAAGCGGUACGCGAGCUGGGUUCAGAACGUCGUGAGACAGUUCGGUCCAUAUCCGGUGUAGGCGUUAGAAUAUUGAGAGGAGCCUUCUUUAGUACGAGAGGUCCGAGAAGGACAUACCUCUGGUGUACCAGUUAUCGUGCCAACGGUAAACGCUGGGUAGCUAUGUAUGGAGUGGAUAACCGCUGAAAGCAUCUAAGUGGGAAGCCCACCUCAAGAUAAGUAUUCUCAC